CAACAACAACACGACUAAGACGGUGUCAUGUAAACACCAAGAAGAAGAAGAAGAAGAAUAAGAAGAAGAGCAAGAAGACUGGCGUGGUGUCCCUCCCAGCACUUCCCACUGUGGUGCCACUGUUACCACUACAGGGACUCUCCUCUGUGCUGACUUGUGCACACUCCUGGUGCACUGUGACCCUCUCUCUCUCCUUGUGCACACUCCUGGUGCACUCUGUGACCCUCUCUCUCUCCUUGUGCACACUCCUGGUGCACUGUGACCCUCUCUCUCUCCUUGUGCACACUCCUGGUGCACUCUGUGACCCUCUCCUUGUGCACACUCCUGGUGCACUGUGACCCUCUUUCUCUCCUUGUGCACACUCGUGGUGCACUCUGUGACCCUCUCUCUCCUUGUGCACACUCCUGGUGUACUCUGUGACCCUCUCUCUCUUUGUGCACACUCCUGGUGCACUGUGACCCUCUCUCUCCUUGUGCACACUCCUGGUGCACACACUCCUGGUUCACACUCCUGGUGCACACUGCUGGUGCACACUCCUGGUGCACACUGCUGGUGCACACUCCUGGUGCACACUGCUGGUGCACAGCUUCCUGGCUUCAGGGUGCAUCAAUAACAUAUAACACUCACAAUUAUUCGUCAACUUCCACUUUGCUCGAUUUUGUUUUUCCGUCCACUGGAAGUUAGUGGUCGAUACAACCUAACCUGUUAGUGGCCCCAUCAAGAAGAAGACCAAGAAGAGUAAGAAGAAGUAGCCCUAUAAACCCCAAGAAGAGGAAGAAGUAGCCCUAUAAACCCCAAGAAGAGGAAGAAGUAGCCCUAUAAACCCCAAGAAGAGGAAGAAGAAGAAGAAGAAGAAGACUGAGGAGAAGUGCCGCUAUAAACCCCAAGAAGAAGAAGAAAGCCAAGAAUUAAGAAGAUUAAGAAGAAAAGGCCAUUAAAACAGAAGAAGAAAACCAAGAAGACCAAAAAGACCAAGAAAAAAAAGACUAGAAAAGGCUAAGAAGACCAAGAAAGCCAAGAAGAUCAGAGGAUCAAGAAGAUCGCUUGCAUGUUAGAGUAGUUAAGAAGUGUAUUAUGAUAGAGACUUAAGACGAUGUUAAGUGGUGUCAUGUGUCACAAGAACGAUCAAGGUUAUAUUAAUGGCUUCCUCAGAGAGUUUGGACUAUCGGUGCAGAUGCGACUCUACACAAUGCACAAAAGAGAAUUUGUGAUGGUUUUCAUUGUGUUCUUCGUUACGCUUGGCCUCGCACUCUUUAUUGGGUUGGCAGGUCCACCAAUAACAGCUACAGCCGAAAAACAAGCUUCUCAACUGAUGCCCACAAUCAACCAAUCACAACUCACAUCUGGGCCGUUCCUGAUGAAGUCUCCGCCUUUGUCUACUUAUGCUCAACAGCUCUGGGUUAUAGCAAGAAUAAUUAUCAAUAUAAAAGAUGAACAAUCUUUCCGAAAGGAGUUUCACCUCAGUGUGUCCAUUGAGGGCCUCACCAAAGAGCACGAGACUGAAACGGUUCUUCCUGCCGACCAUCCCCACAACAGGAGUCGUACCCUGGAGUGUGACCAGCGGGAAUGUGGGGAGGUGACGGUGAUGCACUUGAGCUACUUACGUUAUACUCACUACAUCAUCACUAUUAACUUUUAUGGACUUGGCGAGAAUCAACAGUGGUAUAGUGUCAAGGAUGUCAUCUUUUAUUUUAAGACUUACAACCCAGCAUUCACCAAGCUGGAGGUCUGGUUUCGGUUUACCUUCCUGCUUCUCACAUUUGCUGUGGCAUGUUGGCUGGCCCACAGUCUUCGAAAAUAUGCAGUAUAUGAUUGGUCCAUUGAACAGAAGUGGAUGUCUGUGCUUCUUCCACUUCUUUUGUUAUAUAAUGACCCGCUGUUCCCCAUGACAUUCUUAAUGGCUUCGUGGGUACCAGCUCUAGUGGACACAAUCUUCCAGGUCACAUUUUUGUGUGCCCUUCUACUUUUCUGGCUGUGUGUGUACCACGGCCUCCGGCAGAAUGAACGUUCGUUUAUGUCAUUUUAUUUGCCAAAGUUGUGUAUUGUUGGUUUGUUAUGGCUGACGGCAGUUGUAAUGGCAGCUCUGCAAAAAUACAAUGAGCUGCGGGAUCCAUUGUAUUCUGCAGCUUUAGAAACUAACCAUUUUCAGAAAUUCAAGAUAUUUUUCUUGGUGAUGGGAUCGUUGUAUGUGCUGUAUCUCAUCUUCUUAAUCGUCACAGCUUACAGUGAACUCAGAGCUAUGCCAUAUUUUGACUUACGGCUCAAGUUUAUGACACUGCUGAUGUUAGUCGUGCUGUGUGUCAGCAUCACCAUCACUGUCCUGAGGUUUGGAGUUGGCAUUCUCGAAGAUAAUUUUGUAGCCCAACUCUCCACGCACUACGACUCCUCCGCGCAGUUCAUGGCAUUUUAUGGCCUCCUUAAUCUGUAUCUCUUUGCAAUGGCCUAUGUCUAUUCUCCAUCGGAAAGAGCUUUAAUGGAAACUCACAUCAUGAAGGAUAAUCCAGCAUUUAGCAUGGUAAAUGAUUCUGAUGAAGAUGUGAUUUAUGGCUCUGACGAUGACACCAGAAGACCAUUAAACAGAGGCAGUAAUGAUAAUGAUGAGAGUGAUUAGAGUAAGCUUAAUAUAACAGUUUUUGUAUCAAAUAUGGAAGUGAGUUGAUCGCCAACACCUGAAUGCUGUGCUGGGUCAUUUGCAGCAGUCUGCAAGAGGCAGAUACUUAAGAAAAAAUAUUACUCAUCUAUUAAAAAUCUGUAUAGAUUAAAUCUUUUCUGUUAGCAUUUCUGUGUGACAGGUUGUGUACAUGUAGCACUGUCUAGUGUCUUGACAGGUUGUGUACAUGUAGUACUGUCUAGUGUCUUGACAGGUUGUGUACAUAUAGUACUGUCUAGUGUCUUGACAGGUUGUGUACAUAUAGUACUGUCUAGUGUCUUGACAGGUUGUGUACAUGUAGUACUGUCUAGUGUCCUGACAGGUUGUGUACAUAUAGUACUGUCUAGUGUCUUGACAGGUUGUGUACAUGUAGUACUGUCUAGUGUCUUGACAGGUUGUGUACAUAUAGUACUGUCUAGUGUCUUGACAGGUUGUGUACAUAUAGUACUGUCUAGUGUCUUGACAGGUUGUGUACAUAUAGUACUGUCUAGUGUCUUGACAGGUUGUGUACAUAUAGUACUGUCUAGUGUCUUGACAGUUUGUGUACAUGUAGUACUGUCUAGUGUCUUGACAGGUUGUGUACAUAUAGUACUGUCUAGUGUCUUGACAGGUUGUGUACAUGUAGUACUGUCUAGUGACUUGACAGGUUGUGUACAUAUAGUACUGUCUAGUGUCUUGACAGGUUGUGUACAUAUAGUACUGUCUAGUGUCCUGACAGGUUGUGUACAUGUAGUACUGUCUAGUGUCUUGACAGGUUGUGUACAUGUAGUACUGUCUAGUGUCCUGACAGGUUGUGUACAUGUAGUACUGUCUAGUGUCCUGACAGGUUGUGUACAUGUAGUACUGUCUAGUGUCCUGACAGGUUGUGUACAUGUAGUACUGUCUAGUGUCCUGACAGGUUGUGUACAUGUAGUACUGUCUAGUGUCCUGACAGGUUGUGUACAUGUAGUACUGUCUAGUGUCCUGACAGGUUUCUACAAGACUGAGAUCCAUGAAUUGUUACAUAUUCAGUCAUUUUGGUGUUUGUCCAGAUAAUUUUGAAAAAUACGAGUCUGCCAUGACUAUAAUAGUAAUAUUACCUGACUCAACUGCUUAAUAGGUCUUGCUGUGUUAACUCUGUUUCAUUUGUGUGUGUACCUAGGUGAAUUUUUUUAUUAAAUAUAAAAAACUGAAAAAGCAGAGUAAAGCUGUGUGUACAGUGUAUUUGUUUAACCCGUAAACGGUCCAAACGUAUAUAUAUGUUUUUUCAACAUUUGAAAGUAUGUAAAAAAAGUAGAUCUUUUUGUUUUUUUACAUUUGAAAAUGUGUAAAAAAACUUUGAUCUACUUUUGUAGCACUACACGUGUGAACGUAGAUCUGCUUGGACCGUUUACGGGUUAACAUGUUAAAUGUUAUAUUGUAAUUAUUAAACAAGGCAGAAAAUGUUAUAUCAGUUUUCAGCACCAGUACAUGUCUAUGGGAAUGAGAUUUCUGUACAGAAAUUAAACUCAUUUUAUAAUUGUCUAGUGUAAUGUGACAUGAAUGUUUGAAUCAUUCACCACUAUAUUUAGUUCCCAAGUUAGAAAUAGCCACAUUUACAAACAAUGUAUUUAGGAAGAAAUUAAAAUUAGACAACGUCCGAGCCACAGUACCAUGAGUUAUGAGACGGAACCAUCCAUUAUACACAGCAUGACUCUAUCUUCAUUACUGAACUGAGAAUUAAUCUCUAUCAUUGCUUGCCUUGAUUCACCCACACAGGUUUAGUGCCUCACUUAAAUAAAUACCUAUAAAUGCACUAUUGCUCUUUAUACAAACAAGUUGUUUGUAAUGAUAUUAUUAGUUUAUAGUCAUUUAUAAACAGAAAAACAGGAACAUAACUCAUUUAUUAGUUGUGUGUUAAUACAAGCAAUCACUUUUAACAUUCAUUAAUUCUUUGGCUAGUGAGGACAUAGAUAUAAAUAUUGUGCAGUGUAAAUACCUUUCCUGGUUAAUGUUAAAUAUAUUAUAAAUAUUUCCCUGAUAGGUAUUACUUAUUGAGCUGUGAUGUUUGUGUUUCUUUCAUGACAGAACACUCAAGAAACAUUUUAAAAUACUGUAUAAGUCAACAGAACUGUUGUCCAGAUCAGAAUAUAAUUUUGUAUUCAAGAUUACUUAACACUUCGUUAUAUAGGAAAAUGUCAGGAAAAUGAGUUAAUUUAUCUUUGGGUAACUUGUUCAGGCGAGAGAUUGAAAAAAACAUUCUCAUUUUACUGAUUCUCAUCCGUUCUGUAUAAUGUAUUAUAACCUCAUAUUGUACUUGUAUGUCACACAAGUAAGUUAAUAAGUAACUGCAAGUAGAGCCAAAAAACUUGAAUAACGUCUAGUAUAAAUCCACAAAACAUCAGUUUUCUUGUGCUAAGCAGCAGUGAAUAACCUAGACAUGUUCAGUUUGUUUUGUACUAAUAAGAACAUAUAAAAUAAAAAAUGCUUAAAACUUUUUCCCAGCCAUAUUAAUUUUUGAACACCAAAUUUUGGUCUAAAAGUAUUUAAGCAGAAAUUUGAUUGUAAAUAGAUAUUAACUUUUAUUUUUUUCUUUGUCAGUGAACUUACAAUUAUUUAGUCUAACCCUGAAUGUUAAAUUGAAAUUAUGGAGAGAAUAAGUCUUAGCAUUGAAUAAACUGUACUGAUAUAUUUUCUCGCAGUUGCUAUUAGACAUAUGAUAAAUAUGUUGUAAAUAAAUGCUUGUAGAUUAUUGGCCGGCUUAAUUCGGUGAUCUUUAUGCAAGAUUUUUAUUCAGCUAGCAUGUAUAAAAUGGUGUUCUUAUGAUGGCGUACACCGCACUUUAUAAAUAAUCAAAGAUUGGAAAUCUGAUCAGUUUUGAAAAUAAUAAUCUUUAGCAUAGCAUAAAUUUAAAAUCAAAAGUUUUAGCCAGUCCUUAAUUAGCAAAAACUGGCCAAUUAAUGGUGUGGUUUUAAGGUGUAAUUCAGAAAGAUGUCUGUGCCAGCCAUCAACUUUAUUCAUUACCAUGCCAGAUAUAUACCUUUGAUAUACCUUUGAAGAGUUUUGAAAGUUUCACUGCUCUUGGAGCCCGGCCAUGGGCCAGGCUCGUGUACAAAGUAAUUUUUUACGAUCAUUUGUGUGCAAUAAGCACAUUUUCUUUUUAUAUAUGUGUCAUUGUAAAGGUUGGACUCAGGGCAGUGAAUUUAUAUCUUCCUCUUAAAAGUUCGUCCAUUGUCUAUCACUGCUGUCUAUUUGGUUGUAUACCCAGCUGGCACUGCUGUUUGUAUGGUUAUAUACCUAGCUGGUACUGUUGUCUGUAUGGUUGUAUACUCAGUUGGCACUGCUGUUUGUGUGGUUGUAUACCCAGCUGGUACUGCUGUUUGCAUGGUUGUAUACCCACCUGGUACUGCUGUCUGUAUGGUUGUAUACCCAGCUGGCACUGCUGUUUGUAUGGUUGUAUACCUAGCUGGUACUGUUGUCUGUAUUGUUGUAUACUCAGUUGGCACUGCUGUUUGUAUGGUUGUAUACCCAGCUGGCACUGCUGUUUGUAUGGUUGUAUACCCAGCUGGUCCUGCUGUCUGUAUGGUUGUAUACCCAGCUGGUCCUUCUGUUUGUAUACUCAGCUGGCACUGCUGUUUGUAUGGUUGUAAACCCAACUGGCACUGCUGUUUGCAUGGCUGUAUACUCAGUUGGCACUGCUGUUUGUAUGGUUGUAUACCCAGCUGGUACUGUUGUCUGUAUGGUUGUAUACCCAGCUGAUACUACUGUUUGUAUGGUUGUAUACCCAGCUGGUACUGUUGUCUGUAUGGUUGUAUACCCAGCUGAUACUACUGUUUGUAUGGUUGUAUACCCAGCUGGUACUGCUGUCUGUAUGGUUGUAUACCCAGCUGGUACUGCUGUUUGUAUGGUUGUAUACUCAGCUGGCACUGCUGUUUGUAUGAUUGUAAACCCAGCUGGUACUGCUGUCUGUAUGGUUGUAUACCCAGCUGGUACUGCUGUUUGUAUGGUUGUAUACUCAGCUGGCACUGCUGUUUGUAUUGCUGUAUACUCAGUUGGCACUGCUGUUUGUAUAGUUGUAUACCCAGCUGGUACUGCUGUCUGUAUGGUUGUAUACCCAGCUGGUACUGCUGUCUGUAUGGUUGUAUACCCAGCUGGUACUGCUGUCAGUAUGGUUGUAUACCCAGCUGCUACUGUUGUAUGGUUGUAUACCAAGCUGGUACUGGUGUCUGUAUGGUUGUAUACCCAGCUGGCACUGUUGUAUGGUUGUAUACCCAGCUGGUACUGGUGUUUGUAUGGUUGUAUACCCAGCUGGUACUGCUCUCUAUGGUUGUAUACCCAGCUGGUACUGCUGUCUGUAUGGUUGUAUACCCAGCUGGUACUGUUGUAUGGUUGUAUACCAAGCUGAUACUGGUGUCUGUAUGGUUGUAUACCCAGCUGGUACUGCUGUCUGUAUGGUUGUAUACCCAGAUGGUACUGGUGUCUGUAUGGUUGUAUACCCAGCUGGUACUGGUGUCUGUAUGGUUGUAUACCCAGCUGGUACCAUUGUCUGUAUGGUUGUAUACCCAGCUGGUGCUGCUAUCUGUAUGGUUGUAUACACAUCUGGUACUGUUGUCUGUAUGGUUGUAUACCCAGCUGGUGCUAUCUGUAUUGCUGUAUACCCAGCUGGUACUGCUGUCUGUAUGGUUGUAUACCCAGCUGGUACAGUUGUCUGUAUGGUUGUAUACCCAGCUGGUGCUAUCUGUAUGGUUGUAUACCCAUCUGGUACUGGUGUCUGUAUGGUUGUAUACCCAUCCAGUACUGCUGUCUGUAUGGUUGUAUACCCAGCUGGUACUGUUAUCUGUAUGGUUGUAUACCCAUCUGGUACUGCUGUCUGUAUGGUUGUAUACCCAGCUGGUACUGUUGUCUGUAUGGUUGUAUACCCAGCUGGUGCUGCUAUCUGUAUGGUUGUAUACCCAGCUGGUACUGUUGUCUGUAUGGUUGUAUACCCAGCUGGUGCUGCUAUCUGUAUGGUUGUAUACCCAUCUGGUACUGCUGUCUGUAUGGUUGUAUACCCAGCUGAUACUGGUCUGUAUGGUUGUAUACCCAGCUGGUACUGCUGCCUGUAUGGUUGUAUACCCAGUUGGUACUGCUGUCUGUAUGACUGUAUACCCAGCUAGUACUGCUGCCUGUAUGGUGGUAUACCCAGCUGGUACUGCUGCCUGUAUGGUUGUAUACCCAGCUGGUACUGCUGCCUGUAUGGUUGUAUACCCAGCUGGUACUGCUGCCUGUAUGGUGGUAUACCCAGCUGGUACUGCUGCCUGUAUGGUGGUAUACCCAGCUGGUACUGCUGCCUGUAUGGUUGUAUACCCAUCUGGUACUGCUGUCUGUAUGGUGGUAUACCCAGCUGGUGCUGCUAUCUGUAUGGUUGUAUACCCAGCUGGUACUGCUGUCUGUAUGUUUGUAUACCCAGCUGGUGCUGCUAUCUGUAUGGUGGUAUACCCAGCUGGUGCUGCUAUCUGUAUGGUGGUAUACCCAGCUGGUGCUGCUAUCUGUAUGGUGGUAUACCCAGCUGGGGCUGCUAUCUGUAUGGUGGUAUACCCAGCUGGUGCUGCUAUCUGUAUGGUGGUAUACCCAGCUGGUGCUGCUAUCUGUAUGGUGGUAUACCCAGCUGGUACUGCUAUCUGUAUGGUGGUAUACCCAGCUGGUACUGCUAUCUGUAUGGUGGUAUACCCAGCUGGUACUGCUAUCUGUAUGGUGGUAUACCCAGCUGGUAUUGCUAUCUGUAUGGUGGUAUACCCAGCUGGUACUGCUAUCUGUAUGGUGGUAUACCCAGCUGGUACUGCUAUCUGUAUGGUGGUAUACCCAGCUGGUACUCAUACUGGAUGACACUAGAGUAUAAUAUAUUCCCUGGUUAAUUUUCUGAUUUUAUAAGUGUUUGUUAGUCCUCAAAAAUUUAGCUCUUUUUGAUGUUCAGAAAGACGUAAAAUUGAUGGAUGUUGCAUUAUGGGUCUUGUAUUAAUUAUAAAUAAACUCCCUUAUCUUAUGAUGUAGUGUACACUACUGUAAUGCUAUUUACACUUAUAUUUAUAUUGUUUCCUUUAGUGACUGUUUCAGUGCUAAUAAUCUGAUAAAUAGUCACUAAAGUUUCAGAUACAGCCUUUCCUCACUUAAUGACGGAGUUCCGUUUCUAAGGCCAUGUCGGUCAACGAAUUUUUUGCUAAGCAAGGAGCAUACUAUAAUGGUAGUGUGUUUGUGUCAACCAUCUUUGAUAUUGUUUUAAUGUCACCUUUGCACCAUUUAUAUAAUUUUUAGUAUACAAUGUACGUAUUUUUAAAUGUUUAUAUAGUAGUGUACUGUAUAUUGUAAUAAAUAGAAUAGAGGAAAUCAGCUCUAAUAUACAUUAUUUAUGUAUGCAUACUGGUCAUAGAGCUCGUUGUAAGUCUGAGUUGUCGGUAAACGAGUACGUCGCUAAGUGAGGAGAGGCUGUACUACAUAAUGUGUGUGUAAGAAUCAUUAGACUGGUACUCUUACCCCAUUAAUGGAGAAUGUUGUCACCUGUACUGCUUAUUAUUUUGUUUUUUAGUGUCCAGAUAUUUUUUGUAGGAACAAUUCCCACAAAUUCCUUCUUACAGUAAAAUGUAAAUAUAAAUAAAUCUCCAGUUUA